AGAGUUUGAUCCUGGCUCAGGAUGAACGCUAGCGGCGGGCUUAACACAUGCAAGUCGAGGGGCAGCAUGAAAUUUAUUUAUUUAAAUUUUGAUGGCGACCGGCGUACGGGUGCGUAACACGUAUGUAACCUACCUUUUUCUAGAAAAUAGCCUGAGGAAACUCGGAUUAAUAUUCUAUAAUACAGUAUCCUCGCAUGAGAAUAUUAUUAAAGCAGAAAUGCGGAAAAAGAUGGGCAUGCGCCCGAUUAGUUAGUUGGUGGGGUAAUAGCCUACCAAGACGAUGAUCGGUAGGGGGCCUGAGAGGGUGAUCCCCCACACUGGUACUGAGAUACGGACCAGACUCCUACGGGAGGCAGCAGUGAGGAAUAUUGGUCAAUGGAGGAAACUCUGAACCAGCCACGCCGCGUGCAGGAAGAAUGCCUUAUGGGUUGUAAACUGCUUUUGUUUAGGAAUAAAGAUUUCUACGUGAUAGGAAUUGUGAAGGUACUAAACGAAUAAGUGUCGGCAAACUCCGUGCCAGCAGCCGCGGUAAUACGGAGGACACAAGCGUUAUCCGGAUUUAUUGGGUUUAAAGAGUGCGUAGGCGGUUUAUUAAGUCAGUAGUGAAAUGUUACAGCUUAACUGUUAAAAUGGCUAAUGAUACUGAUAGACUUGAGUGAGAUUGGAGUAGCUGGAAUGUGUGGUGUAGCGGUGAAAUGCAUAGAUAUCACACAGAACACCGAUCGCGAAAGCAGGUUACUAAAUCUAUACUGACGCUGAGGUACGAAAGCGUGGGGAGCAAACAGGAUUAGAUACCCUGGUAGUCCACGCCGUAAACGAUGAUCACUAGUCGUUGGAUUUUAUUGUUCAGUGGCUAAGCGAAAGUGAUAAGUGAUCCACCUGGGGAGUACGACCGCAAGGUUGAAACUCAAAGGAAUUGACGGGGGCCCGCACAAGCGGUGGAGCAUGUGGUUUAAUUCGAUGAUACGCGAGGAACCUUACCAAGGUUUAAAUGUACUACGAAUAAGCUAGAAAUAGUUUAGUCUUAGGACGGAGUACAAGAUGCUGCAUGGUUGUCGUCAGCUCGUGCCGUGAGGUGUUGGGUUAAGUCCCUCAACGAGCGCAACCCUCAUUGUUAGUUGCCAACGAGUAAUGUCGGGGACUCUAGCAAGACUGCCGACGUAAGUCGAGAGGAAGGUGAGGACGACGUCAAAUCAUCACGGCUCUUAUACCUUGGGCUACACACGUGCUACAAUGGUCGGUACAAAGGGUUGCUACUGAGCAAUCAGAAGCUAAUCUCUAAAAACCGAUCUCAGUUCGGAUUGGAGUCUGCAACUCGACUCUAUGAAGUUGGAAUCGCUAGUAAUCGCAUAUCAGCCAUGAUGCGGUGAAUACGUUCCCGGGCCUUGUACACACCGCCCGUCAAGCCAUGGAAGUCGGGGGGACCUGAAAUUGGUGACCAUAAAAGGAACUGCUUAAGGUAAAAUCGAUAACUGGGGCUAAGUCGUAACAAGGUAGCCGUACCGGAAGGUGUGGCUG
rnacentral:rRNA from 1 species